AUUUUGUAAAAAGAGAGAGCUUUAAUUCUCUUCCUCUCAGUUGUAUUGUCUUGGGUUCACUCUUUCUUUAACCUCCUCUAUUUUAUCGAAGUCUCCAAUUUUAAAUACAUUUUGCAUAUUAUCCAACAAAUUUGGUAUCAUAGCUAUCAUGAACAAGACUCCAUAUGAAGCGUGGCUCAAACAAAAACCCCAGAUGUUAUCUUUGACGAAUCAGCAGCAUGGAAUUGGGAAAGCGCUCCCAAAACAGGAGCAAAAAUAUUUGAAGAAAGUACUGUUCAGGAUAAGUCAAAUUCUCAACCAAGUUGUAACACCCCGUACCAAAAUAUACAUAUUUUAACAGCUUGACCAAGUUUGACUAAGUUUGAUCAAGUUUGACCAAGUGAUCAUAUAUGGGUCCAAGUUGACUUUUUCUAUGAUCAAUAUUUUUUGUUUGACUGAUGUAAUGUUGUAUAGAUCUAGUCGAUACGAGUUCAUAGACUGGUGGCACAUCAAAUUCUGAGUUACGAAUAAAAAGUUAUGGUUCAGAGAAGUUUUCAGCAUAAGUUUUAUAUCAAUGUCCAACCAGUCCCCAGUUUUUGUCUGUUAGUGAGCCUAGGCUCUAAAUAAGCCUUGGUAAGCAUGCCAAAUAGGAAACCAAAUUCCAAAAUACUGUUUCCAGCCCCCAAAACCCGAGAAAUCCUCCCCUAGACCCGUGGGUCCAAAAUGGGUCGUUCCGAUCCGUUUAAUGGUGAACCGGGUCACCGCCGUGUUUGCCCAUUCUGGCCAUGAACUUUUUACAUGCACCCACCAGCGAGAAAUACCACUUUGAAGCAAGCUUGGCCGUGAAAUUUCAUGGAGAACAGCGGCUGGACGGGCCCGGAUCUGGCCGGAGAAGACGGUGCUGGCCAGCUAGGUGGGUCAUUGGAUUUUCACAUUUUUCGACCGUUUCAGGCCAACCUGUAGAUAUUCCCCACCAUUUUUGGACCCUCUGAACUCAUUUCCAUGGUUCUUUUUCCCAAAUUCCUUACCGUUUGGGAGAUACGAUGACGGGAAGUUCAGUCACCGGAGGAAUCUUUGGACCAAGGUGAUCAUACUGUUGGGUUCCUUGUCUCUUGGGCUUUCCAUGGAUAUAAAUUUUAUGAAUUUUGGAGGUUGUUUGAUAAUUUUUCCAUUUUUAUUAUCAGAUAAAUUGGGGCUGCAUUUGGACAGCAUUGGUCAAAUUGGUUAAAAUUGGAGUUGGAUUUGUAAAAUUGGUAUUAUCAGGACCUAUUUAGAGGUUCAAUUUUGAAAGAGUAGGCUUCGGGUGAAAAACUCCAAUUUUGAGUAUCGGAUCCUAAGGACACACGGUAUAAUUGGACUGUCCGGUGUCCAAUUUAUGUAAUUUUAUAGUACUAAAAAUUAAUUUAAGACAUUUGGGUCAUACAAGUGUCUUUAGUUUAGUUAUUUUGAGCUUGAAGAAUAUUUUAUUAUAUUAUAGACACUCCAGUUGAGUCUGGAGGCGAUCCUACAGGGAAGCAAGAGUGAGCAUCUGCAGUACUGUGAGUGGUUAUUAUUUUUAAAAUGUUUUGGGUAUAUAGAAUAAUAUAUAUAUGUGGUUGGAUAUUUUACGUAUAUACAAAUUGAUUGAAAGGAUUGCUUUCUGCAUAUAUAAAUCUGCUUUCACUUAUAUGAGUUAUCAUUUUAUGUGGAAUUUAGUAAUGUUUUUAUUGAUUUUUAAUUUUUAUGAGUUCAUAGUGAACUUGUGAAUUAUGUUAAUUAAAUAUUCUGUUAUUUGAAUUGAGAUUUUAAAUUAUUUUGGAAAAUAAUUGAUUUGAGAAAUAGAUUGAAAAUUUAUAUGAUUUUAAGCAUGCUCAAAUAUUUUGUAAAUUUUUAGAUGGUUAAAAUCAAUUUAUGGUGAAUACAUUUUACUGUGGUAUUUUUGGUUUUCGCAUGAAUGGAUGAUUUGAAAAUUUUGACAUAUUUAAAUAGGCAGUGGAAUUUAAAUAUUAAAUAAUGAUUUAUGAUACAAUAUCGUUUGAGAAAAAUAUAUAUGAUUUUACAAAAGUAUUUUAGGGAUACCAUAUUCAUUAUUUUUAAAUUGAUGUACCAUGUAGUGCCAAUAUCUUGGAUCAGUAUUAUAUUAUAUUAUAUUACAGCAUGCUGGAUUUUGCCACGGUACCAUGAGAUUGGGCUCAGCCCAUAAGAUAUUAUUGCCACGGACCGUUAGGUUGGGAUGAUCCCACAAGUUAAUAUUUUCAUGGUACCAUGAGGUUGGGUUCAACCUACAAGAUAUUAUUACCACGGACCAUGAGGUUAGAUUUAUUCCACAGGUUAUUAUUGUCACAAUACCGUGAGGUCAGGCGUAACCUACAGGAUAUUUAUUGCCACAGACUGUGAGGUUGGGUACGUUCUGACGGUUAUUUAUUUCCACGAUGCCUUUCGUAUAUUGAGGGUCGUGAGGUGGGUAUAUCCCACGGUUUACAGUUUGGUACACCGAAUGGUACAUUGUAUAUGUUUUGAAUACAUUGUUGAUUUUCAAAUAAGGUGGAUUUACUGCACUUUCAUAAACAUUUUGUGGAACUGCGUUUAUAAUAUUUACGCUAAAUGUUUAUAUUUUGAUUAAGGCAUUUUGUAAUAUUAUAUUAUUGUUUAUUUUAUAUAUUUUGAGCAUCCAUUUCAUGAUUAUAAUUUUGGGGUACAAAUUCGGGUUUUGUGAACUGAUUUUAAAAGGGGAACUUUUCGAAAGAGUGAAACGAGAGGUCUUGAGUGAAAGAUUUUUAUAGAAAUAAAUUAAUAUUUUUCUAUUAUACUCUACCACUCACUGAGAUUUCUUUAUCUCACGUUUUAUUUGUCUUAAAUUUGUUCUCCUAGGUCCAGGUAGUUAGUAGUAGUUUACCUCGCGCACCUCUUGUUACUUCGUUUCCUUCCACGAUAGCAGCAGUAUUAUCUUUUCUUUAUCUUACCUUUAUCUUUUCCGACAUCGUUUAUUUCUUAUUUGUACUUCUAAACUUUGUUAACAACCUUAGAAUGCUCUGAUUUAAAUAUUGGACUCAGUAGAGACCAUAUUUCUUAUGGGUGUAGUUAUGGCUUAUGGUACAAUAGGUCAGUUGUGGACUUUGUGCUGUUUUGGAUUUAUUUAUAUUUAUAUAUUGAGGUAUUAUUAGUAAUGCAUGUGUUAUUUGUCCAUGUUUUAAGGUGAGGUUCCAUUGGAUAUUCCCUAGGAAUUGUCCGGUGGAACUUCACUAGGCGGGACCACUCGGAAGAUCCUGGGAGGGUUCCUGGGGUGGGUCCUAUCAAAGUCAAGACCCUGGUCCAAGCACAAGUCAAGAAACUCCAAGCCCAAUCCAAAGAAUGGAUAUAUCUUCAGAUGAUGAAUCAUUUCCAAGAAAGGUAUGCUCACUUGUAGAUAUCUAUGAAUCUACUAAUAUGGCAUUUUUGGCAUGUAAGCCCUAAAAUUUUGAAGAAGCAGUAAAUUUGGAUUAAAGCAAUGGAUGAAGAAAUUGCAACAAUUGAAAAAAAUGAUACAUGGGUACUGGUAGAUCUACCUGAAGGUAAAGAUGUUAUUGGACUUAAAUGGAUCUACAAACCCAAGUACAAAGAAAAUGGAGCAAUUCUAAAGUACGAAGCACGGCUAGUCGCCAAAGGCUAUUCGCAACAGCCAGGAAUCAUGGAGCUCUUCUUGAGUAUUCAUGUCUUGGAUAAAAUGCAUGCUCAUGGUAGUGGUCCUCGAGUCAUCCUAAACAGACAAUGGAGGGGACAGCUCAAAAUGGAGGUGUUUGAUAUUUCCUAUAUAUAAAUAUCUUAGCUGCUUCAACUUCAAACAAUGUUAAAUUGUAUGCUAUAACUGAUGUGAUUCCGCCCGAGGCCGCUCAACCGAUAACCCGCUGGGGUGCUGACUCGACACGGAUGAAGACUAGGCCAAUCACAAGAGCUCAAAUUAAGAGAUUUAAGGACAACCUGGGAGUAUUUAUACAGGAUAUAAUCAAUCUCAACAGAGCUUGUCCAUACUUGAAGAUACAAAGCCUAUUCUAAGCAUCCAAGUGGUGGAAGCCGAUAAGGACCCAGGUGACGGUUUUGGUACAUUUUUGGAGUCCGGGAAGUAUGAAAUGGUUCCAAUGAUUUAUGGGUUCAAUACAUAUGCCUAAGAGGUCAUGGAAUCAAGUUAAAGCAGCCUCAAAUGCAAUCAAAAAGGGCUUGUACAGACAGCAUCAACAAUUUGGCCGAAUUUGCUGUAUUGCUUGCUGGCUUUACUGUAUUUUACUAUAUUAGCCUUUUCUUAUUUUUCCAAGCAUGGGCAACGUGUGGGACUUCAUAUUCAGCUUAUUUGGCAUCCUAAAAAGCAUCUAGAAGCUGAUUUGAAGCUCAAAGAGGUCAAAGAUUGAUCAAAUUCAACUUGAUAAAAA